GUGUGCCAGCCGCCGCGGUAAUACGGAAGGUCCGGGCGUUAUCCGGAUUUAUUGGGUUUAAAGGGAGCGCAGGCUGAUGAUUAAGCGUGACGUGAAAUGCCGCAGCUCAACUGUGGAAGUGCGUCGCGAACUGGUUACCUUGAGUGUAUUCGACGUCAGCGGAAUUCGUGGUGUAGCGGUGAAAUGCUUAGAUAUCACGAAGAACUCCGAUUGCGAAGGCAGCUGGCGAGGCUAUAACUGACGCUAAAGCUCGAAGGUGCGGGUAUCGAACAGGAUUAGAUACCCUGGUAGUCCGCACGGUAAACGAUGGAUGCCCGCUGUUGGCGAUAUACGGUCAGCGGCCAAGCGAAAGCGUUAAGCAUCCCACCUGGGGAGUACGCCGGCAACGGUGAAACUCAAAGGAAUUGACGGGGGCCCGCACAAGCGGAGGAACAUGUGGUUUAAUUCGAUGAUACGCGAGGAACCUUACCCGGGCUUGAACUGCAGGAGAACGAUUCAGAGAUGAUGAGGCCCUUCGGGGCUCCUGUGGAGGUGCUGCAUGGUUGUCGUCAGCUCGUGCCGUGAGGUGUCGGCUUAAGUGCCAUAACGAGCGCAACCCCUCUCUUCAGUUGCCAUCAGGUCAAGCUGGGCACUCUGGAGACACUGCCACCGUAAGGUGUGAGGAAGGUGGGGAUGACGUCAAAUCAGCACGGCCCUUACGUCCGGGGCUACACACGUGUUACAAUGGGUGGUACAGAAGGCAGGAUCACGGCAACGUGGUUCAAAUCUUAAAAGCCAUCCCCAGUUCGGAUUGGGUCUGCAACCCGACCCCAUGAAGCUGGAUUCGCUAGUAAUCGCGCAUCAGCCAUGGCGCGGUGAAUACGUUCCCGGGCCUUGUACACACCGCCCGA
rnacentral:rRNA from 1 species